UACGAAGGGGGCUAGCGUUGCUCGGAAUGACUGGGCGUAAAGGGCGCGUAGGCGGAUGGCACAGUCAGAUGUGAAAUUCCCGGGCUUAACCUGGGGGCUGCAUUUGAUACGUGUUGUCUUGAGUUCGGAAGAGGGUCGUGGAAUUCCCAGUGUAGAGGUGAAAUUCGUAGAUAUUGGGAGGAACACCAGUGGCGAAGGCGGUUGCCUGGGGCUUUGCUGACGCUGAUGCGCGAAAGCGUGGGGAGCGAUCCGG
rnacentral:rRNA from 1 species